AUUGAACGCUGGCGGCAGGCCUAACACAUGCAAGUCGAGCGGAUGAAGGGAGCUUGCUCCUGGAUUCAGCGGCGGACGGGUGAGUAAUGCCUAGGAAUCUGCCUGGUAGUGGGGGAUAACGUCCGGAAACGGGCGCUAAUACCGCAUACGUCCUGAGGGAGAAAGUGGGGGAUCUUCGGACCUCACGCUAUCAGAUGAGCCUAGGUCGGAUUAGCUAGUUGGUGGGGUAAAGGCCUACCAAGGCGACGAUCCGUAACUGGUCUGAGAGGAUGAUCAGUCACACUGGAACUGAGACACGGUCCAGACUCCUACGGGAGGCAGCAGUGGGGAAUAUUGGACAAUGGGCGAAAGCCUGAUCCAGCCAAGCCGCGUGUGUGAAGAAGGUCUUCGGAUUGUAAAGCACUUUAAGUUGGGAGGAAGGGCAGUAAGUUAAUACCUUGCUGUUUUGACGUUACCAACAGAAUAAGCACCGGCGAACUUCGG
rnacentral:rRNA from 1 species